UGUUCUUACAAGGACCUAGAAACAAACUCCCUUCGCCUUCCACCCGUUGACCUCUCGGCCUUCGCUUCCGGACUCCCUUCUCGGUGUGAUCUUUCGGCUUAUUUGUUCUUGGUUUGUAUUUGGUUCGAAAAUCUUUCACGUUUUAUUGAAUUGCUUGACGGACACUUCCCGGUCAACUUUAAUUUACUCCAUUUGAUCUUUCGGUUUUUGGUCUCGGCUUCCUCUCACAGAUGGGUGUGCGUACCUGAAAGGUGCUCCGAUGCCAAAGUUAGAUUCAGUUUUACAAGAUAUUAGAAUGAAUUCAACCCCCUUACCUCUCAGGAUGACCCUCUAUUUAUACUACUCUUUUAUUGGGCCCAGAAGUUAUUUGGGCCUUUUCUCUUUGUAUUAAACAUUUACUACACACACCUACAUAUUUGGGCCCAGUUUCAUGGGCUUUUGCUUAAUAAUAAUUUCCAUUCUAUUUUAUUUCUUUCGUUAUUUAGUUUACUUUCGGGUUGAGCUCUCGGCUUAGUACACAUUCCUUUCGGUCCAAUCUCUCGGCCCAGUACA
rnacentral:lncRNA from 1 species